rnacentral:rRNA from 1 species
UACGGAGGAUCCAAGCGUUAUCCGGAUUCAUUGGGUUUAAAGGGUGCGUAGGCGGAAUGAUAAGUCAGUGGUGAAAUCCUGCAGCUUAACUGCAGAACUGCCAUUGAUACUGUCGAUCUUGAGUACAUUUGAUGUGGGCGGAAUGUGUCAUGUAGCGGUGAAAUGCUUAGAUAUGACACAGAACACCGAUUGCGAAGGCAGCUCACAAAACUGUAACUGACGCUGAGGCGCGAAAGCGUGGGUAUCAAACAGG